AACGAACGCUGGCGGCAUGCCUAACACAUGCAAGUCGAACGAGACCUUCGGGUCUAGUGGCGCUCGGGUGCGUCACGCGUGGGAACGUGCACUUAGGUUUGGAAUACCUCCCUGACAGGGGUGCUAAUACCGGAUAAUGUCUUCGGAUAACAGAUUCAUCGUCUUUGGAUGGGCACGCGUUCUAAUAGCCUGUUGGUAGUGUAAAAGCCUACUAAGGAUACGCUCCAUAGCUGGUCUGAGGGGAAGAUAAGCCACACUGGGACUGGGACACGGCCCAGACUCCUGCGGAAGGCAGCAGUGGUGAAUAUGGGACAACGGGCGGAAGCCUAAUCCAGCAGGGCCGCAUAAGUGAUGAGUUCCGUAGGAUAGUAAGCCGCUUUUACCCGCGAUGUUAUGAACGUAACCAAAGAAAAAGGCUCCGCCUACCUCCUG
rnacentral:rRNA from 1 species